rnacentral:tRNA from 1 species
GCCCCGGUAGCUCAGCUGGAUAGAGCAACGGCCUUCUAAGCCGUAGGCCACAGGUUCGAAUCCUGUCCGGGGUA